UACGGGGGGGGGCAAGCGUUGUUCGGAAUUACUGGGCGUAAAGGGCUCGUAGGUGGCCAACUAAGUCAGACGUGAAAUCCCUCGGCUUAACCGGGGAACUGCGUCUGAUACUGGAUGGCUUGAGUUUGGGAGAGGGAUGCGGAAUUCCAGGUGUAGCGGUGAAAUGCGUAGAUAUCUGGAGGAACACCGGUGGCGAAGGCGGCAUCCUGGACCAACACUGACACUGAGGAGCGAAAGCCAGGGGGAGCAAACAGG
rnacentral:rRNA from 1 species